rnacentral:rRNA from 1 species
GCCUUGGCCAGCUCCCCGCCGUUCUGCUGGCACGCCUGCGUCGCGUCGUCCAUGAACCCCGAGAGAGCUAGGUUGAAGUCGGUGAGCUGCGACCUGGUUGUCUCUAGGGUUGCGUCUCCGCCUGCUUCGUACGAGAGGUUCUUCUGGGCCUUCUCCAGGAUCGUCUGCAGGUACUUCCCUUGCGCCUCGAUGCGCAUUUGCAGCUUCUUCUGA